UUACUGAUGAAGAAACAAGGUCACAGGUGCAAUCGAUCUUAGAAGCUGACACAAAAUCACAACUGCAGGUUGCAGUUGCACAGGCAGGCAGCUUGAUCAGUCUUGCUGGUCACAAUGUUUGCAUAACACUGGAAAACAAACAAGAAACUGCUUUGGAUUUGGCUCACUGGUAUGUCCUCCAGCGAACCCGUGCACCUUUUGAAAGGUUCAGAGAUGGCUUGAGGUCUCUAGGUGUCCUAGAUGCUCUACAGAAAUAUCCUCUUCAGAUGAAGUGCCUUUUCGUGAAAGCUGGAAAAGCUCUGAAAGC